UACGUAGGGGGCAAGCGUUGUCCGGAAUUAUUGGGCGUAAAGAGCGUGUAGGCGGCCCCGGCAAGUCCCGCCGUGAAAGUCCAGGGCUCAACCCCUGGAAUGCCGGUGGAAACUGUCGGGCUUGAGUUCGGAAGAGGCGAGUGGAAUUCCUGGUGUAGCGGUGAAAUGCGCAGAUAUCAGGAGGAACACCAAUUGCGAAGGCAGCUCGCUGGGACGUUACUGACGCUGAGACGCGAAAAGCGUGGGGAGCAAACAGG
rnacentral:rRNA from 1 species